AGGAGGGGUAUUUCAAACCGGCCGAGCUGCUGGCCCGGGCGGGGGCCGGAGAGAUGAGGAAGGAGGCUGAGGGCUACGUGCAGGCAGCCCCGGGGGACUUGGUGUCUCUUCUUCCCUGGGGUGAGAGCUCCCUUCCACCCUGAGUCCCCGGGGUCUGCGGGCAGGGAGGACACAGAGUCAGCGGAGGGUGGAGAGAGGAAGACUCGCAGAACACCCCGUCCUGGAACACUGAAAAUCCCCCCGAGCGGAGAGGUUGGCAAAUCUCAGCCCCACCGCCACUCACAUGCCCCGACAGGACCUGGGGCUACAGCGCCACUGCCAGCCCCGUCAAAGGAAUCCAGUGACCUAAAGAGAAAGGAACGGGACGGUUUCACAUGUGCUUUUGAAAGCGGAGGAGAGAACUCAGAAAAAGAGCUCUCUUUUGCUCUAGUGUCCUGAAAGCCUGUGAGGCCAGACUUCCGAACGCUCUUGGGGCAGGGUCAAGAACGAAGAGCCUGGGUGGAUUCCCAGCACUCAGGUUCCCACCAAACUCCAGGAAAAAGAACAAAUAAGUCUCCAUGACAAGAACCUGGUGCCUGGCCAGUGACUGUAGAUCCCAGCCGAGCCGGGGUUAACAGGAGUAUAGAGCAAUUCUGGGAAAGCCCUGGACCUUAGAGAGUCCCUUCUGUGUCUACAUUUUGCCACCAGGUAGAAACACCCAGCCUCUUGAGCUCACUGUCACUGUUUGCCAAGCCGACAGGCAGCAAAUAGCAGUGCAUAAAGACUAUCAUCUGGGUAGCUGGACUCAUACCCCGGCCAGGUCAACUGACAGCCUGCUUGCACAAUUCUCUUCUAAGAACACCUCAACGCUACCCCAGAUCAUUCUGCUUUUACCACUUGUCACCACAGUCUUUGAAGAAUCACAAGUCUCUCUCCAGCUCUGGUGUCAAAGGAAGAGGAAAGAGCAUCACAAACUGGAAGCUAGAGAGUUUGACUCACCUGAGUUCACUACCCCCUAUCAUUAAAUGCCGGGUAAAUCGCCGUAAUCCUGUUCUAAGGCUAAGUGGCCAUUUCCGUGUCUUAGUAAGCUGUUCCACCUACAUAAAUUUAUCUACUGGUCAUCAUAGCAGCUGCCAAUGGUGGUUCUCUACCAGGGGUGGGUACACCUAAGAAUCAGCUGUAGAACGUAAAAACGUAAACAGAUCCCAGAGCCCACCCCAGACCUAUAGAAUACCUUGUCCUGGGAGAAGACUCGGGCAGUUGCAUUGUUUUAAAAAGCUCCCCACUGGAUCUGAUUCUCAUCUCUGGUUAAAAACCACUGUAAGUUUUCAAAUCAAGAAACUGUUUCUUAAUAACAUGUAUAAAUUCAUGAAUUCUCUUACUUAACUGUAGGCUGUGUGGGAUGGGUAGUUUUGGAGUUAGCUAUGUGUUCGAAUCCUAGUUCUGCCCCUAACAAGCUGUGUGACCUUGGACCAAUUGUUAAUUUCUCUAAGCUGCAAAUUUCUCAUCUAUAAAAGUACCUACCUCAAAGGGUUAUUAUUGGUAUUAAGGAUAGUUGUACCUGUCUUACAUGGGUAGGUAAGGAUUACAUGAGUUAGUUAAUACUGUAAAAAGACUUAGAACACAUUAAACACCUAAUAAAUGUUAGCUGUUACUAAUAUUAUUCUCACAUAAUAAAUUUCUUUUCAUACCGUCAUGCUUAAUAAAAUAAUCACCAAAGAGAGAACCUCUCCUAAAUUAGAGACCUUGACAUUAAAAUACUCCUUACUGUUCUCAAUACACAUUUACUCCACAGUACCCCGUGGCUUGUCUUUUUUUUUUAGACUGCUAAACUAAGUUACUGGUAGAGGGACACUUUGAUUUUAUGAAAGUUUAAGUAAAAUUCUUUGCGGAAUUCGGUACUGGCCCUACCUGCCCCGUGUGGAACUCUCUGACAAGCUGCUACUUUUUUGUCCCUCCCUUUAAACCAGUGCAUUUCAGGAAAAGGGAGACCUCUUGUGGCCAUGUAUGCAUUGCAACAGAUUGCCCUCAGGAAAACUAAGUUCUCAAACCAAGUGGAAUUUAAACUUGAAACGAAUUUUAAACUGUUUUUAAAGGUGGCUAUCCCA